rnacentral:rRNA from 1 species
GACCAGACUCCUACGGGAGGCAGCAGUGAGGAAUAUUGGUCAAUGGGCUUACGCCUGAACCAGCCAAGUCGCGUGAGGGAAGACUGCCCUAUGGGUUGUAAACCUCUUUUGUCAGGGAGCAACGCCGGCUACGUGUAGCCGGACUGAGAGUACCUGAAGAAAAAGCAUCGGCUAACUCCGUGCCAGCAGCCGCGGUAAUACGGAGGAUGCGAGCGUUAUCCGGAUUUAUUGGGUUUAAAGGGUGCGUAGGCGGAAUGCCAAGUCAGCGGUAAAAUCGCGGGGCUCAACCUCGCUCCGCCGUUGAAACUGGCGUUCUUGAGUGGGCGAGAAGUAUGCGGAAUGCGUGGUGUAGCGGUGAAAUGCGUAGAUAUACGGAGGAGCACCAGUGGCGAAGGCGGAUUGCUGGACAGUAACUGACGCUGAGGCGCGAAAGCGUGGGGAGCAAACAGGAUUAGAUACCCUGGUACA